rnacentral:lncRNA from 1 species
UUUAAAUAUGACCGCUUCCCCCGGACGUGACGCCGGGCUCCUCCCACCCCCCCCCAUUUGCAUAUGACCGCUUCCCGGACGUGACGUUUUUGCCGAUGACGACUUCCGCCUCAUUUGCGUAUGACCGCUUCCCGCGCGCAACUUCCGCCGGACGUGACGCCGGUCCCCACGGAUCUCAUCUGCAUAUCGCGCCGGCCCCUUCCGCUUCCCCCGGACGUGACGCCGGUCCCCACGGAUCUCAUCUGCAUAUCGCGCCGGCCCCUUCCGCUUCCCCCGGACGUGACGCCGGCUUCCGGGGCGCGGCCGGGGCGGGCUCCGCGGAUCGCAUCGGCGCGCCGAGCCUGCCCCUUCCGUCGCACCGGGGGUCCGCGGGCGGGGGCUUCCGCUCCGCGGCGCCCGCCCCAUUGGCUCCCCUCGCGCCACGCGGUCGCCGUCGUCAUCGUCCCGCCGGCCAAUCGGUGGCAGCGGGGGAGGCUGGGAGUGGGGACGGAAGACGGAAGCCAGAUGAACCUGUUCCGCCCGCUCUCCCACCGCCUUUCCCGCCCCUCCACGACGACCACCCGGGACCACCACCACCAACAACACCACCACCACCCCCCCCCCCCUCACGCACACACUUUACUACUAUCACCACCAGUGGGCGAUGGUUGCAACGGCAGUUCCCUGUACUGACCACCACCGUGUUUUUUUCUCUCUUUCUCUCUUUCCCCCCCCACCCCCCUCGACCACCGCAGGACCACCAUCGUCCAACUCCCGCCCGGGACCACCGGGACCCUCGGGACCAUCUACCUCCCACCAGGACCCGCCGGGACCACCAACACCGUCCACCUCCCACCACCACCACCACCACCAUCAAGGACCCCCAACAUCCCCAAGACCCUCUACUUCUUCCCACCAAGACCCUCCAGGAGGAGGACCCCCAUCUGCUAAGACCCACCAGGGACCCCCAUCUGCUAAGACCCACCACCACCAAGACCCUCCAGGAGGAGGACCCCCAUCCACUUCUUCCCAUCACCACCACCAAGACCCUCCAGGAGGAGGACCCCCGUCACCCCCACCAAGACCCUCCACCUCUUCUUCUUCCUCCCACCAGGGACCCCCAUCCACAAGACCACCUCCACCCCAGAGACCACCGCCAAGAUGGCCGCCUCCAUCUCCCCAAAAAAUCUCAGAGACUCGAGCUGGUUCAGAAAAUACAGCACAAACUUUAUUUUCUCACUCUGAAAACAAACUCUUUUCUCACCCGAUGGGAGAAGGAGGAGAAGGGGACCGGGGGACCGCGGGAGGAGGAGAAGGGGACCGGGACGAUCCUCCGCCGCCGAGCCCUCCGCCGCGGCCGCCGCCGCCGCUUCCACCACCGCCGCCACCUCCGCCGCCGCCGCAGCCACCUCCGGCCGGGGGAUCCGCGCGGAGGAGAAGGAGAGGAGGAGGGCCACCGGGCCGGGGAGGCAGGCGCCGGGGAGGCAAGCGCCGCCGGGCCGAGGGGACCGAGGCCGCCGCCGCGGACGCAGAGGAGGAGGAGGACGGGGACGGGGACGAGGACGAGGACGAGGACCGGGCCGAGGGCGAGGGGAGAGAAGACGGAGGAGAAGGGCCUCGAGGAGCCGGUGGAGGGGCCGGAGAGUCAGAGUCAGAGUCCGGCCGGGCCGAGGGGGCGCCCCGCUCAGCGGAGCAGCAGGUAGGGGUUGCCGGCGUCCUCGGCCUCCUCGUCGUCCGAGAUGGCCUCCACCUUGAUGGGCCCGAGCGGGCCGCGGGGCCGGCCGUCGCCGCCGCGGACGCCGACGAUCUCCACAGAGUCCCCGUCCUCGCCGGGGCCGGCCCCGGCGCCCGAGGCCCCCGCGGGCCGGUGGGUCUCCACGGCGCCCCCGGCGGCGGCGCGGACGCUGGUCUCGAAGGGGGCAAAGUCCCAGAGCACGGCCGGCGGGGCGCCCGCGGCGGCGACGGCGCCCGGGGUCAGCACCAGCGGGGCGGCCUCGGCGUCGGGCUCCAGCAGCGCCGCGGCGCAGAAGGCGCGCAACUCGGCCGGCAGGCCCUCGGGGCCGCGGAGCUCGGCGAGGCCCCGGCGGCCGCAGGAGACGAAGACGGGCCGCAGCGGGGCGCCGAGCCCCCAGCGGUUGGCCGCGCGGUGCCCGAAGGCGGCGCCCGCGUCAAAGUCCGGGUCCCCGAGCCCGAGCGCGGAGCGCUGGCGGGCCAUGUCCUUGCAGCCGUCCACGGUGGGGAGCACGCGCUGGCGGUAGGCGCGCGGCGGCAGCGGGACCGGGGUCCGGGGCCCGGCGCGGGUGCUCACCGUGUAGCGCACGUUGUCCUGGCGGCAGAGGCGCAGCGGCUCGGCCCCGGGGUGCAGGCGGGCGAAGGAGGCCUCCACGCGGGCGAAGCAGGCCGGGCCCACGAUGGAGCUAGAGUCCAGCACGGCCGCGCGGAGCUCGCGGCACCCGGGCCAGCGCACGGCGCACUGGGCGGCCGGGUCCAGGCGGGCGCGGACGUAGACGUGGUAGUCCCCCACGGCCGGGCCGUCCGCGGGCCAGUCCUCGAUGGUGUCCAGCACGAUGAGCCGGCGCCGCGCCGCGCCGAGCCGCGAGCAGAGGUACUCCACGGCGCCGGCGAAGCCGAGGUCCCGCGCCGAGAGCAGCAGCACCCCCUGGGCGUUGAGGCGGCCGAUGUCGGGGCGCCCGGUCCAGUUCCCGGCCCAGGCGUGCGAGUCCGGCGUGCAGAGGCGGUGGGCGAAGGCGGCGAGCAGCGCCGAGAGGCCGCCGCGGCGCGGGUCCCAGGCCGGGCGCGGGGCGCCCUCGGCGGGCUCGGCGCAGAGCUCCUCGUGGGGCAGCGGGUCGUAGAGCACCACCACGCGCACGUCCUCGGGGUCGGCUAUCUGCCGCAUCCAGGCGGCGCGGCGGCGGAGCGGGGCGCCCGCGGCCCCGCGGCGCGCGGCGAUGUGCGCCAGGGCGGCCGGGUCGAAGGUGAGCGCCGGGCGCCAGAGUUCGGGGAAGACCUCCUGGUCCACGAGGGCGCGGGCCACCUCGGGCGGGCAGUAGGCGGCGAGGGCCGCCUCGGAGGGCCGCGGCGUGUGGGUCUCGCCGGCCGGGACGCGGCGGAAGCCGCCGUCGGGCGCGGGGUGCUCGGGCAUGGGCCCGAGCGGGCGCCGGAGCCGGUCGUCCUCGGAGGAGGAGGAGGAGGAGGACAGCAGCGCGGGAGCGGGGUCCGGAGCGGGCCCGAGUCCGAGGGAGCGGCGCUUGCGCCGGGGCCCCCGGUCCUCUUCGUCGUCGCGGUGGCCGUGGCCGUCCCCGCGGAGGGCCGCGCCGGAGAGCCCCUCGUCCUCCUCGCCGUCCCCGGGGCGGCGGGCCCCGGGCGCGCGGCGCUUCUUCUUGCGCCGCUCGGGCGCUGGGUCCGGGCCGGCGGCGGGGGAGCUGGCGUAGCCGGAGGAGCCGGAGAGGCCGGACUUGGUGCUGGAGCUGGACUUGGUGCUGGAGCUGGACUUGGUGCUGGCGGGGCUGGAGGGCCCGGAGCCGGGGAGGCCGGAGGGGGCGCCCGCCGCCGCCGGCGCCGGCGCUGGGACGACGAGGCCGGGCUGCUCGGGCCAGAGCGGGGGCAGGCCGGGCGCGGGCUCCGCGGGCCCGGGCCGCGCGGCGGCCUCGGCGAGCCGGGCCGCGGCCACGUUGGCCGGGGCGAAGAGGGCCGCGGCGUAGGUCCAGGCGGCCUCGCGGGCGCGGGCCCCGUCCACGCUGUAGCGCACCAGCGGCGCCACGGUGCGGGCGACGAGGGCGACAGAGUCCGCGGCCUGCCGCCGCUCGGCCGGGCCGGCCCCGGGGAUCGCGUCGCGGAGCGCGAGCAGCGCGGCCGUCACCUCCUCGAGGCAGGCGGGCCCGAGGGCGGCCGGGGCGCGGGCGGGCGCGGGCAGCCGGAGCGGGCAGGGCAGCAGGCGCUCGAGGACGCCGCGGCAGGCCAGGACGCAGGCGUCCGCCAGCUCGCGGGGCACGCGGCCGGGCUGCGCGGCGGCGAAGGCGGCGCGGACGCGGGCGCAGAGGGCCUCGACGGUCGCCUCCCCGGCGCGGGGGUCCGCGGCGCGGCCCGGGUAGGCCAUGUCGGCGUAGGCCCGGCGGAGGCUCUGCAGGAUGAAGGUCUUCUGGGUGCGAUCGUAGCGGCGGCUCAUGGCCACGGCGCUCACCGCGUGCGGCAGGGCCCAGAGCGGGUCCUGGGCGGCCAUGGCGUCCCCGAUGUGCGGCAGCGGCGGGGUCACGCUGCCGGUGAUGAAGGAGCCGUGGCCGUGGGGCGCGUGGACCCGGCGCUGGCAGAACUGGUUGAAGCGCUGGUCGGGGGCCUGCAUCCGCGGGUUCUGCAGCCAGGACAUGGCCUCGCCGGCGGCCCCGCUGUAGAUGAGGCGCACGAGGGCCUCGUGCUGCUUCCUCGAGUCCCCCAUCUCCGGGAUGAAGACGGGCACGGGCCCGGCCGCGGCGCGGUAGCGGGCCGCGGCCUGGCGGACGUCGUCCUCGUCCCAGAGCCCCUCGCGGGAGUCCCCGGCGCCGCCGUAGCGGACGCGGCCGUCGGCCGGAGGGUCGGAGCCGGGCCAGGGCUCCCCGAGCGGGGUGAGCAGCGGCCCGUCGGUCGGCGGGGGCCCGUCGGCCAUGAGCGAGAGGUGGUUGUUGGUGGAGCGGCGCUUCCUGCGCGGGGGCCGGGCGGGCUCCGGGGCCGGGGCCGGGGAGGCCGCGGCGGAGGAGGAGGCGGAGGAGGCCGAGGGCCGCGGGGCCGCGGCGGGCGCCGGCGGAGACGGUGGCGGCCCGGCGCGGGCGAGUGGGGCGCCGGGCCGGACUCCUUCGUCUUCUUCUCCCUCGGAGGAGGACGAGGACGAGGAGGACGAGGAGGACGAGGAGGACGAGGACGAGGAGGAGGCCGAGCGCCGCGCGGCGGCGGCGGGGGCCCGGGGGGCGGAGGGCGAGCGGGCCGGGGAGAGGUCCGAGUCGCUGCCGCUGCUGCUGGAGCUGCUGAAGCCGCGGCCGCGGCGGAGGGCGCCCUCUCCGGCGCGGCGCCGGCGGGGCUGUCUCUGCGGGGGCGCCCCGCCGUCCCCGGCGAGGCCGAGUCCGUCCUCGUCCUUCUCGGGGCCGCGGGCGACGGUCUCGACGGCGACGGUGGUGGUGGAGUUGGAGUUGGAGUUGGGGUUGGAGGAGACGGGGCUCCGGGCGCCAAGCGGCCGAGGAUCGAGCCGCCUCGCGGCGGCGGGCUCGUCGAGCAGGGGCUCGCGGUGCUGGUGAUGGUGACGACCGCGGUCCCCUCCGGCGGAGGGGGCGCCGCCGCCGCCGGGCGCCGAGACCGGCCCGGCGGCGGGGGAGGCUGGGGAAGCGGGCCCCCGCCGUGCCGGCGCUGCGGCCACCGCUGCUGGCUGUGCUGGUGGCGCCGGGGUCCGAGGCCGCGCCGCCGGCCCGGGCUCACCGACCGGGUCCCCCCUCGCGGGGGACCAUCUCCGCGGGGCUGCCGAGGGGCCGGGAGAGCCGGAGGAGGAGGCCGGGGAGGCUGCGGAGGGGGACGAGCGCCCGGGGCCGCCGGGGGCCCCGGCCUCUGCCGCUGCGAGUGCUGCCGGGGUCGGCGGCCGGGGCCCGGAGCCGGCCCGGGACCGGGGCCCGAGGACGAGGUGACCGUGCUCGGAGCCCUGAUGGAGAGCCCGACCGGGGGACCCGGCGGCCGGGGACCCGGGCUCGUCCUCCUCCUCGUCUUCGUCGUCUAGCACCACGAUCUCGCCCGAGCCCCGGCGGGGCUGCUGCUGCUGCUGGGCCGAAGGAGGACGGGGCGGCCUCGUGGCUCCGGCCGCGGCCGCGAGGACGGCGGCCUCGGCCUCGGCGGCGUCGUCGGAGAAGAGGCCGCCCGGGCCGAAGAGGAGAUCCUCGCCGGAGGAGCCGCGGCGCCGGGAGCCCUGGCUGCCGCCGUCGGGGCCGGACGCGAUGCCCUCUUCCUCGGCCGCGGCGGCGGCGGCCGCCAGGAGCUGGCUGAAGUUGCCCUCGGUCUCGAUGAAGUCAAAGAGAUCGUCGGCCAUGGUCUCGAUCGGGGUCUUUCUGCCUGAGCGAGGCCGGGCGCCGAGCGCGGAGAGCGGGCGGCGGAGAAGAAGGAGGAAGGCGGCCGGAGGAGGAGAAGAAGAAGACUCUUCUCUGGCGGGCCGAGAGCCUCGGUGGGUCGGGCGUCCGUCGAGGGCUGAUAGCCGCCGGAGAGCCGGAGUCUUCAGAGUCCGCGCCGGAGCGGAGACGGUCGGAUCCCCUCGGGUUGGCAGAGAACGAUGCUGUCCGUACCUGCACCGCAGUGAAGUGCUACGAUGGAGACCGCGCUUAUAAGCGCCCCGAGGAGAGCCCGCCCCCAGGUAAGCGGACCAAUGGCCGAUUUUCGCCGCGGACUUCCCCGACGGCCGGCCAAUGGGAUUUUUCUCGCCCGCUUCCUCUCGCGUCUGCUUUGCAUGCCCGGCCCAAGAUGGCGGCCGCCGGCCAAUGGGAUUUCGCGAGGAACUUCCUCGCGAGGACCAUUUGCAUGCCCGGCCCCCGCGGCGGCCAUCUUGCCCACUCGACGGCCAAUGGGAUUUCUCUCGCCCACUUCCUCUCGCGUCUACUUUGCAUGUCCGGCCCCGAGGGCGCCAUCUUGGCCCCUCGACGGCCAAUGGGAUUUCUCUCCCUACUUCCUCUCGCGUCUACUUUGCAUGUCCGGCCCCCGCGGCGGCCAUCUCGGCUCGCCCGGGCCAAUGGGCGCGCGGAGGCGUCUCCCGCGCGCCUCUGAUUUGCAUGCCCGGCCCGCUCUGCGGCCAUCUUGGCCGCGGGCGGCCAAUGAGAUUGUCCGAAAAUCCCUCGCGCGGGCGCGAGGCGCAUGCUCGGCACGCGACCCACCCCCGUGGUGCUAGCGAGCCAAUCAGAUGAUUUUCGGGGAAGCUUCCGUGUGCACGUCAUUUGCAUGCUCGCCCCACGUGGCCGCCCUCGGCCAAUGGGGCCUCACGGUGCAAGCUUCCGUGUGUCUGCACGUGGUCCGCAUGUGUUGUGGUGGUCUCUGUGUUGUGUGGUGGUCUCUGUGUUGUGUGGUGGUCUCUGUGUUGUGUGGUGGUCUCUGUGUUGUGUGGUGGUCUCUGUGUUGUGUGGUGGUCUCUGUGUUGUGUGGUGGUCUCUGUGUUGUGUGGUGGUCUCUGUGUUGUGUGGUGGUCUCUGUGUUGUGUGGUGGUCUCUGUGUUGUGUGGUGGUAUCACCGCCUCCCCCUGCCACUCGCGAGACCCCGAGACCCCCGUUUCCCCCUCCUCGAGACCCCUGAGACCCCCGAGACCCUCCCGCGACCCCCGCGGUCGCCCCACCCGCGCCUGCGCGCUCGGCGCGCGCUCCGAGGGCGCCCCCAGCCGGUCGGAGAGACGAGCGGAACCGCCGUCGGACCGGGGACCGGCGACCGGACCCGAACCGGGAAGCGACGCCGGGGCGGGAGAACCGGACCCGAACCUCGAGCCCGGACCCGCCCGGACCCGGAAGGAAGGAGCCGGACAGCCACGCCUUGGAUACUUUUGUCGCCCACCCACCCCCUCCUCUCCCCCACCCCUCUAUCUCUCUCUCCCGGUCCCCCCUCCCACCCCACGAGACACGCCCCAGAGUGAAAAAAAAAAUAAAAGUUGUUCUCGUUGCACCGUC